AGUUCGGAUUGAAGGCUGAAAUUCGCCUUCAUGAAGCCGGAAUUGCUAGUAAUGGCAGGUCAGCAUACUGCCGUGAAUACGUUCCCGGGCCUUGUACACACCGCCCGUCACACCAUGAGAGUUGGGAAUACCCGAAGCCUGUGAGCUAACGAAAGAGGCAGCAGUCGAAGGUAGAAUCAAUGAUUGGGGUGAAGUCGUAACAAGGUAAC
rnacentral:rRNA from 1 species